AAAAUUAUAUGAUGAAAUAUAUGUAGGGACAAAUGAUCGCCUGUGAUUAUAUCACAUUGAGAGAUAGUAACUGAAAAUAGAUAGUUCAUAAUAAUUUUCAUUGAUUGUUUUAUUCAAUGCCCUAAUCUUACUCUUUAUUUUCAGCUUAUGAUGUCCAUAUACAAAUGAAUGAUGCUGUUAGGCGCUAUUUUACGAAAAACUCAUUUGACACGAUUUGUUUUUAUGAAGUCUUGCUGUCGCCAGUAAAAACUCAUCUCACACGAUUUCUUUUCAUGAUGUUUUGCUGUUGUCACAUAAGCUCAUCUCACACGAUUUCUUUUCAUGAUGUUUUGCUGUUGUCACAUAAGCUCAUCUCACACGAUUUCUUUUCAUGAUGUUUUGCUGUUGUCACAUAAGCUCAUCUGAUUGUUAUCAUAAUGAGGUCUUGCUGUUGAUUCCCAUAAAACUCAUUUGAUUGUUUUCAUGAGAUCUUGAAGUUAUUCACAUAAAAGCUAUUCAGAAGUGAUGCUCCUACAAAAACCUAAAAAAUUGAACUAAAACAACUAUCCAGAACAAAUAAAAACAACGCUUAGUCAAAUUUCAAGAAAUCAAUUUUAUGAGAAAAAGGCUUUUCAGGAGUGGUGCUCCUACAUAAACCUAAAAAAUUGAACUUAAACUAAAACAACUAUCCAGAACAAAUAAAAACAACGCUUUGUCAAAUUUCAAGAAAUCAAUUUUAUGAGAAAAAGGUUGUCAUUUUUGUAAAAUCUGUUCAAAGAUGUGUUGCAUUAGCUCAAUUAUCGACAAAAAAAUUUCCCUUCCAUUGGAAUCCAUCGUAAUAUGUCUUGGGGAAGAAACACUCCCAUUAUCAACAGUUCAAGGAAUCCCAGAAAAUAAGUCGAGAAAAACAUGUUAAAAUAUUGAAUGAAGUCCAGGAUGACUUUAACAUAAAUAUAAUGGAACUGCCUGCUGAGAUCGAUUAAAGUUUUUACAGUAAGUUGUGAUUAUGAACAAUUAUUAACAAAAUAAAAAAAAAAUUAUAUAUAAAAUUCUCAAUAAAUCUUUAUCUCUA